rnacentral:rRNA from 1 species
AUGAAGGAUAAACAAUCUGAUAUUGACGCCAAUGAUCUAUUUGUUGAGUUGAAGUUUCUUCAAAAUUUCAUGCCAAAAGAAAAUAUCGGACCUGUUGAAAUUCUGAAUUUUUUAAAGCGGCAUGAUUGUUUUCCCAAUGCAAGUAUUGCCUAUAGAGUUCUGUUGACCAUUCCUGUGACAGUUUCAUCGGCAUAUAGAUUUUCUAAAUUGAAUAUAUUGAAGUCCUAUAUGCGUACUACUAUGACACAACAAAGACUCAAUGAUUUGGCUACAAUAGCACUUGAGAGUGAACUGUUGGAGAAGAUUGAUUACGAGGGUAUGAUUGAAGAUUUCAUUUCAAAGAAUACUACAAGAAUGGGGAUGUUCAAAUAA